rnacentral:rRNA from 1 species
GGGCCCGCACAAGCAGUGGAGUAUGUGGUUUAAUUCGAAGCAACGCGAAGAACCUUACCAGGUCUUGACAUCCCUCGAAUAACAUAGAAAUAUGUUAGUCUUUCGGGACGAGGAGACAGGUGGUGCAUGGUUGUCGUCAGCUCGUGUCGUGAGAUGUUGGGUUAAGUCCCGCAACGAGCGCAACCCCUGCUGCCAGUUGCCAUCACGUAAAGGUGGGCACUCUGGCGGGACUGCCGGUGAUAAAUCGGAGGAAGGUGGGGAUGACGUCAAAUCAUCAUGCCCCUUAUGAUCUGGGCUACACACGUACUACAAUGAUCGUUACAGAGGGAAGCAAGGUGGCAACACGGAGCCAAUCCCUAAAAACGGUCCCAGUUCAGAUUGUGGGCUGAAACCCGCCCACAUGAAGUCGGAAUUGCUAGUAAUUGCAGGUCAGCAUACUGCAGUGAAUACGUUCCCGGGCCUU